GAUGAACGCUGGCGGCGUGCCUAAUACAUGCAAGUCGAGCGAACGGACGAGAAGCUUGCUUCCCUACUGUUAGCGGCGGACGGGCGAGUAACACGUGGAUAACCUACUUAUUUGACUGGGAUAAUUUCGGGAAAACGCAGCUACUACUGGAUAAUAUUUUGAACGGCUUGGUUCAAAAGUGAUUGACGGUCUUGCUGUCACUUAUAGAUGGUUCCGCGUUGGAUUAGCUAGUUGGUAAGGUAACGGCUUACCAAGGCAACGAUGCGUAGCCGACCUGAGAGGGUGAUCGGCCACACUGGAACUGAGACACGGUCCAGACUCCUACGGGAGGCAGCAGUGGGGAAUCUUCCACAAUGGGCGAAAGCCUGACGGAGCAACGCCGCGUGAGUGAUGAAGGUCUUCGGAUCGUAAAGCUCUGUUAUUAGGGAAGAACAGAUGUGGAAGUAACUGUGGACAUCUUGACGGUACCUAAUCAGAAAGCCACGGCUAACUACGUG
rnacentral:rRNA from 1 species